GAUGAACGCUGGCGGCGUGCCUAAUACAUGCAAGUCGAGCGAACGGACGAGAAGCUUGCUUCUCUGAUGUUAGCGGCGGACGGGUGAGUAACACGUGGAUAACCUACCUAUAAGACUGGGAUAACUUCGGGAAACCGGAGCUAAUACCGGAUAAUAUUUUGAACCGCAUGGUUCAAAAGUGAAAGACGGUCUUGCUGUCACUUAUAGAUGGAUCCGCGCUGCAUUAGCUAGUUGGUAAGGUAACGGCUUACCAAGGCAACGAUGCAUAGCCGACCUGAGAGGGUGAUCGGCCACACUGGAACUGAGACACGGUCCAGACUCCUACGGGAGGCAGCAGUAGGGAAUCUUCCGCAAUGGGCGAAAGCCUGACGGAGCAACGCCGCGUGAGUGAUGAAGGUCUUCGGAUCGUAAAACUCUGUUAUUAGGGAGGAACAUAUGUGUAAGUAACUGUGCACAUCUUGACUGUACCUAAUCAGAAAGCCACGGCUAACUACGUG
rnacentral:rRNA from 1 species